rnacentral:rRNA from 1 species
GGGGAAUAUUGGACAAUGGGGGCAACCCUGAUCCAGCAAUGCCGCGUGUGUGAAGAAGGUCUUCGGAUUGUAAAGCACUUUCGACGGGGACGAUGAUGACGGUACCCGUAGAAGAAGCCCCGGCUAACUUCGUGCCAGCAGCCGCGGUAAUACGAAGGGGGCUAGCGUUGCUCGGAAUGACUGGGCGUAAAGGGCGUGUAGGCGGUUUACACAGUCAGAUGUGAAAUCCCCGGGCUUAACCUGGGAGCUGCAUUUGAUACGUGUAGACUAGAGUGUGAGAGAGGGUUGUGGAAUUCCCAGUGUAGAGGUGAAAUUCGUAGAUA